AACGAACGCUGGCGGCAGGCCUAACACAUGCAAGUCGAGCGAGGACUUCGGUCCUAGCGGCGGACGGGUGAGUAACGCGUGGGAACGUGCCCUUUGCUACGGAAUAGCCCCGGGAAACUGGGAGUAAUACCGUAUGUGCCCGAGAGGGGAAAGAUUUAUCGGCAAAGGAUCGGCCCGCGUUGGAUUAGGUAGUUGGUGGGGUAAUGGCCUACCAAGCCGACGAUCCAUAGCUGGUUUGAGAGGAUGAUCAGCCACACUGGGACUGAGACACGGCCCAGACUCCUACGGGAGGCAGCAGUGGGGAAUCUUAGACAAUGGGGGAAACCCUGAUCUAGCCAUGCCGCGUGAGCGAUGAAGGCCUUAGGGUUGUAAAGCUCUUUCAGUGGGGAAGAUAAUGACGGUACCCACAGAAGAAGCCCCGGCUAACUCCGUGCCAGCAGCCGCAGUAAGAC
rnacentral:rRNA from 1 species